GAUGAAGAACGUAGCGAAAUGCGAUAAGUAAUGUGAAUUGCAGAAUUCAGUGAAUCAUCGAAUCUUUGAACGCAUCUUGCGCUCCUUGGUAUUCUGAGGAGCAUGCCUGUUUGAGUGUCAUUAAAUUCUCAACUACACUGACUUUGAAUUGGUGUGGCUUGGAUUUGGGGGGAAAAUUGUUGUGGGCUUUUUGUAUAGUCUGCUCCCCUGAAAUUGAUUAGCGGUACCUUUGUGGAACUGUCUACAGGUGUGAUAAUUAUCUACAUCUUAGACAUCUGCUGGAAUGCUGCUUUCUAAAACUUACUUGUAUUGACAAUCUUGACCUCAAAUCAGGUAGGACUACCCGCUGAACUUAAGCAUAUCAAUAAGCGGAGGA
rnacentral:misc_RNA from 1 species